AUUGAACGCUGGCGGCAGGCCUAACACAUGCAAGUCGAGCGGCAGCGGGAAAGUAGCUUGCUACUUUUGCCGGCGAGCGGCGGACGGGUGAGUAAUGCCUGGGGAAUUGCCCAGUCGAGGGGGAUAACAGUUGGAAACGACUGCUAAUACCGCAUACGCCCUACGGGGGAAAGCAGGGGACCUUCGGGCCUUGCGCGAUUGGAUAUGCCCAGGUGGGAUUAGCUAGUUGGUGAGGUAAUGGCUCACCAAGGCGACGAUCCCUAGCUGGUAUGAGAGGAUGAUCAGCCACACUGGAACUGAGACACGGUCCAGACUCAUACGGGAGGCAGCAGUGGGGAAUAUUGCACAAUGGGGGAAACCCUGAUGCAGCCAUGCCGCGUGUGUGAAGAAGGCCUUCGGGUUGUAAAGCACUUUCAGCGAGGAGGAAAGGUUGAUGCCUAAUACGUAUCAACUGUGACGUUACUCGGAGAAGAAGCCCCGGCUAACUUCGUGCCAGCCGCCGCAGUAAAAC
rnacentral:rRNA from 1 species